rnacentral:tRNA from 1 species
GGAGGCGUGCCUGAAGCAAAGGGUCACUUUGAUAGAGUGAAUUAUGAGGGUUAAAAUCCCUCCACCUCCU